ACGGCGAGUGAAGCGGCAACAGCUCAAAUUUGAAAUCUGGCCUCCUUCGGGGUCCGAGUUGUAAUUUGUAGAGGAUGUUUCGGGUGCGGCGCCGGUCUAAGUCCCUUGGAACAGGGCGUCAUAGAGGGUGAGAAUCCCGUAUGUGACUGGCGACCAACCCCAUGUGAAACCCCUUCGACGAGUCGAGUUGUUUGGGAAUGCAGCUCAAAAUGGGUGGUAAAUUUCAUCUAAAGCUAAAUACCGGCCAGAGACCGAUAGCGCACAAGUAGAGUGAUCGAAAGAUGAAAAGCACUUUGGAAAGAGAGUCAAAAAGUACGUGAAAUUGUUGAAAGGGAAGCGCUUGCAACCAGACCUGUCCGUUGGCGAUCAACCUCUGUUCUCAGUGGUGCACUCGUCUUCGAUCAGGCCAGCAUCGGUUUGGGCGGCUGGAUAAAGGCCUUGGGAAUGUAGCUUCCUCCGGGAAGUGUUAUAGCCCUCGGUGCAAUGCAGCCAGCCCGGACCGAGGACCGCGCUUCGGCUAGGAUGCUGGCAUAAUGGUUGUAAGCGACCCGUCUUGAAACACGGACCAAGGAGUCUAACAUCUAUGCAAGUGUUUGGGUGUCAAACCCAUGCGCGUAAUGAAAGUGAACGGAGGUGAGAACCCUUAAGGGCGCAUCAUCGACCGAUCCAGAUGUCUUCGGAUGGAUUUGAGUACGAGCAUAGCUGUUGGGACCCGAAAGAUGGUGAACUAUGCCUGAAUAGGGUGAAGCCAGAGGAAACUCUGGUGGAGGCUCGCAGCGGUUCUGACGUGCAAAUCGAUCGUCAAAUUUGGGUAUA
rnacentral:rRNA from 1 species